AUUUGUGACCUGCCAUCUUUCAGUGCUACUGCUUUCCAAGGAUACCUUUUUCUUCACGAAUUGCUACCUAUUGAAGUGAUACUCAUUUCAGCCACGCAGAUCCGGACAGUCUUUGCCUCCACCUCUCUGGAUGACCAGAGUCAGCUAGAUGAAGUGUGUGAGGAAGAGUGGUUCAGGAAAAGGAAACAGCAUGUGCAAAGACCCGGAGGCAUGCAAGAAUUUGACAAGUUCAAGGACCCAAAGGAAAUCCAGGACAGCUGAGUAUAAAAGCAAGCUGCCACAUGAACUGCCUGAUGAAAAGCCCACAAUACCAGGAAUGAGGAAUAGCCCAAUGUAGAACCGAAUCCUGCCCACCAACAACCACGAGAAGAGAGUGGAGUUGCAGAUGGAGAGAACUGAAGAAGAAGGCAUGACUUAUCCCAUAAGCAGGAGAGGCAGGCUAUGAAGGAAGACUGACCUCCUUGCAAAGCUUCUAGAGAGAGAAAUGAGCAAGGAAGAAGGAAUUUGAAAAUGGUUAUUGGAGGGGCGCCUGGGUGGCUCAGUAGGUUAAACAUCCGGCUUUGGCUCAGGUCAUGAUCUCGUGGUUCAUGAGUUCGAGCCCCAUGUCAGGCUCUGUGCUGACAGCUUGGAGCCUGGAACCUGCUUCGGAUUCUGUGUCUCCUUCUCUCUCUCUGUCUCUGCCCCUCUCCUACUCGUUCUCUGUCUCUCAAAAAUAAAUAAACGUUAAAAAAAUGUUUUCAUGAAAAUGGCUAUUGGAUAGUCCAUUAAUGAGUAUUGGUCAU